CCUCAAAGAGAAGAAGAGCCUUCAUAUGAGUGAGGCUCGAUUGUGCAAUAUGAAGGAAGGUAAAGCCUUUUCAACGCUCGUAAAGGAUUGGGCAAUAAAGAGCAAAGACCGGUGGUUCAAGUGUGGAAGGGGGUGGAAUAAAGAAUGUUUACUCCUAAGCCAACGUGUUAUAUUGGAGUUUGGAAGAGAACACGUUUAUUUUGGAAUGGAAGGAUUUGGAAAGAAGGUAAUUAAGAUGCUGUUUGGUCAUCCAGUUUAAACACACAUGUUCAGUGUUUAAACCUGGUCAGGUGAGAUACCAAGAGAACAUUUACUCACAGACCAACGCAUGUUCUGUGUGCGUACUGUUCUAAUCACGACACACAUAAUAAUGAACAGGUUUUUUUUGGACACCAUACGAUAAUUAUUUGCAUCCAUGGUUUCUUGCAGAAAAAUAUAUAUGGACUACAACAGCGCCAUUGCUAUGAUUCCAAAUUAUGGAGUAUUACCAUCCAGAAAGUCAUUCGACAGUUUGGAUUGUUGCAAAGAUGUCUAAAGUGACUUGAAAAUUUCAAUAAAUCUGUGCAUUGUGUAAAGUUGAUUGGAAAGUUCGGUGUUAAUUGGCUUAGGAAGCAUACACAAUACCAUCAGCUUUGGAACGAGCGAGCUGAACAUGUAGUUGGGGAUGACAAUUUCCAUUUAGGUGUGGAUUAACAUGGUACCAUCAACAUGGUUACCUAUUCACAACACCAGAGGCGUCUGUCCAUAUGUACCAGCAAAUUAAGAUCAA